GACGAACGCUGGCGGCGUGCUUAACACAUGCAAGUCGAACGGAAAGGCCCUGCUUUUGUGGGGUGCUCGAGUGGCGAACGGGUGCGUAACACGUGAGUAACCUGCCCUUGACUUUGGGAUAACUUCAGGAAACUGGGGCUAAUACCGGAUAGGAGCUCCUGCUGCAUGGUGGGGGUUGGAAAGUUUCGGCGGUUGGGGAUGGACUCGCGGCUUAUCAGCUUGUUGGUGGGGUAGUGGCUUACCAAGGCUUUGACGGGUAGCCGGCCUGAGAGGGUGACCGGCCACAUUGGGACUGAGAUACGGCCCAGACUCCUACGGGAGGCAGCAGUAGGGAAUAUUGCACAAUGGGCGGAAGCCUGAUGCAGCAACGCCGCGUGCGGGAUGACGGCCUUCGGGUUGUAAACCGCUUUCGCCUGUGACGAAGCGUGAGUGACGGUAAUGGGUAAAGAAGCACCGGCUAACUACGUG
rnacentral:rRNA from 1 species